AAGCUGCCUGAAUUAAAGGCCUGCAGCUUCUGCAUGAAUAAAUGCUGCUUGCUCAUUCUGUAGUGCUCCAGGAAGAGAUGUGCAAAGUUGUUACCUUCCUGCUAUUCCAAUGUACAACAGCUAAGUCUCUUUUAUCCUUAGGAAAACUACAAGUUUGAGCAAGGUAGGUAUAUACAAAUACUAGAACUCGGCUGGAGGAAAAGAAAUCUUCAUGGAGAGAAGUGGAAACAAAACAUCCAGUCCCCACCAAAGGCUCCCAAAUCCAAGGUUUAACUGUGUAAUGGGACUUCCUUUUAGGAAUACAUAAUCAGUCAAACAUACUUGCUAAAUACAAGGAGGCUCAAAAAUGCAGAGGAGUCCAUGGAAUGCUUGGUACCCUGUAUUUCCACAAGAAGAAAGGGUUAAAAGGAGGGAAGCCUAAUUGUUAAAGAGUAGAUAAAUUUGAGGAGUGGAAGAGAAGUGGUAAAGGAGAACCACAUUUUAUUGUAUUCAAAUCUAAAUACCUUGUUUUUUC
ensembl:lncRNA